AUGAUCUCUACAUCCCUACUGCUGCUGCUGCUGGCAGCCGUACACUGUGUUCACUGUGUUGAGCUGAUCCAGACCGGAUCCACAGUAUUAACUCCUGGUCAGUCACUGACUCUGACCUGUAAAGUGUCUGGAUAUUCAUUAACUGAUAGCAGCUACUGUACAUACUGGAUACGACAACCUGCAGGAAAAACUCUGGAGUGGAUCGGAGAUAUAUGUGGUGAUGGUAACACUUACUACAGUGAAAAACUGAAAAGCAGGUUUCAGGUUUCCAGAGACACGUCCAGCAGCACAGUGACAUUAACAGGACAGAACAUGCAGACUGAAGACACAGCUGUGUAUUACUGCGCUCGUAACCACAGUGAGACAAAUAAACAACAUCCCUGUACAAAAACUCCAAGUAAACUGAAACAGUGCUAGCUCCCAACAUUCUCCUUCAUUAAAAAAUAAAUAAUAAUGAUAACAAUUCUGA